UACAGAGGGUGCGAGCGUUAAUCGGAAUUACUGGGCGUAAAGCGCACGUAGGUGGCGACGUAAGUCGGGUGUGAAAGCCCCGGGCUCAACCUGGGAAUUGCAUUCGAGACUGCAUUGCUGGAGUGUGGCAGAGGAAGGUGGAAUUCCACGUGUAGCGGUGAAAUGCGUAGAGAUGUGGAGGAACACCAAUGGCGAAGGCAGCCUUCUGGGCCAACACUGACGCUCAUGCACGAAAGCGUGGGGAGCAAACAGG
rnacentral:rRNA from 1 species